CUCCUUCUUGAAGAACUGUAAUGUCAUUAAUUUGGUGUUGCAGGGAAACAGGACUGUUACUUUGAAAAAAUUAGAGUGUUUAAAGCAAGCUAACGCUUGAAUACAUUAGCAUGGAAUAAUGAAAUAGGACGUUCGAUCCUAUUUUGUUGGUUUCUAGGAUCGACGUAAUGAUUAAUAGGGAUAGUUGGGGGCAUUAGUAUUCAAUUGUCAGAGGUGAAAUUCUUGGAUUUAUUGAAGACUGACUACUGCGAAAGCAUUUGCCAAGGAUGUUUUCAUUAAUCAAGAACGAAAGUUAGGGGAUCGAAGACGAUCAGAUACCGUCGUAGUCUUAACCAUAAACUAUGCCGACUAGGGAUCGGAUGAUGUUAAUUUUUUAAUGACUCAUUCGGCGCCUUACG
rnacentral:rRNA from 1 species